rnacentral:rRNA from 1 species
ACUUUCGAUGGUAGGAUAGAGGCCUACUAUGGUGGUGACGGGUGACGGAGAAUUAGGGUUCGAUUCCGGAGAGGGAGCCUGAGAAACGGCUACCACAUCCAAGGAAGGCAGCAGGCGCGCAAAUUACCCAAUCCCGACACGGGGAGGUAGUGACAAUAAAUAACAAUACGGGGUUCUUUCGGAUCUCGUAAUUGGAAUGAGUACAAUUUAAAUCUCUUAACGAGGAACAAUUGGAGGGCAAGUCUGGUGCCAGCAGCCGCGGUAAUUCCAGCUCCAAUAGCGUAUAUUAAAGUUGUUGCAGUUAAAAAGCUCGUAGUUGAAUUUCGGGAUUGGCGCAUCGGUCGUGCCUCACGGGGUAUGAACUGGUGCAGUCAAUUUCUCACCUUCUGGAGAACCGCGAUGUCCUUAAUUGGAUGCCGCGGGGAACCAGGACCUUUACUUUGAAAAAAUUAGAGUGUUUAGAGCAGGCUCACGCUUGAAUACAUUAGCAUGGAAUAACGAAAUAGGACGUUUGAUUCUAUUUUGUUGGUUUCUAGGAUUGACGUAAUGAUUAAUAGGGAUAGUUGGGGGCAUUAGUAUUCAAUUGUCAGAGGUGAAAUUCUUGGAUUUAUUGAAGACUAACUACUGCGAAAGCAUUUGCCAAGGAUGUUUUCAUUAAUCAAGAACGAAAGUUAGGGGAUCGAAGACGAUCAGAUACCGUCGUAGUCUUAACCAUAAAUUAUGCCGACUAGGGAUCGGAUGAUGUUAAAUUAAUGACUCAUUCGGCACCUUACGGGAAACCAAAGUGUUUGGGUUC